rnacentral:sRNA from 1 species
AAAUUGUUCCAAAAGCUGAUGAAGACAAGAACGAGGGAAACGUUGAUUAAAACAAGCAUAUCAUCUGAGGUGGUUUAAGUAACAAAAUGCAUCACUGAUCUUUUAUUUUAUUUACUGCGUCAAUCGGCAUUGAUUGCUAAUGAAUUUCCAUACACAAUCUCUGAAAGCAACCACUAUUGGUAACAACAAUAAUAAGGGACAAGGGUAUUGAUAUCAGCAACAGCACAGCAGCAACACCGCCGCGAUCAUCAUACAUAAUCGUCUAAUCCAUUAAAAUGCAACGGUAAAAAUUUCUCUUUUUUUUCUAUUUGAACACGAUUGCGCCACAACUGUUGUCAGCUAUCAGCUCUUCUUUUCUUUUUUGUUAAUUAUUUUAUAACACAAAUUUCGAAAGAAAAAAAAACGUUGUCAAGAGGCACCACGAAAACGUAGGCAAAGAAGAAACAAUUUCUUAUACCCCACCACCGCCAUGGUAUGGCAUACGACGGAAUUGAAGACGCCAUAACCAUACCACACAUCCCUUUUGGAUUUAUUUGACGACAUGCAUAUAUUUUUUGUCAAUAAAAUAGCGUUAGUGAGCAAAGUUUAAAA